UGUGCCAGCAGCCGCGGUAAUUCCAGCUCCAAUAGCGUAUAUUAAAGUUGUUGCGGUUAAAAAGCUCGUAGUUGGAUUUCUGUUGAGGACGACCGGUCCGUACCAUGUACGCGCAUCUGGCUCGGCCUCGGCAUCCUCUCGAUAGACGUUUCUGCGCUUGAUUGCGUGGAACGGAUUUCGGGACUUUUACUUUGAGGAAAUUAGAGUGUUCACGGCAGGCUAUCGCCAGAAUACAUUAGCAUGGAAUAAUAUUAUAGGAUCUCGGUUCUAUUUUGUUGGUUUCUAGACCCGGGGUAAUGAUUAAUAGGGACAAUUGGGGGCAUUUGUAUCAACACGUCAGAGGUGGAAUUCUUGGAUUGUGUUGCGACAAACUACUGCGAAAGCAUUUGCCAAGGAUGUUUUCAUUGAUCAAGAACGAAAGUAAGGGGAUCGAAGACGAUUAGAUACCGUCGUAGUCUUUACCAUAAACUAUGCCAACUAGAGAUGGGGCAUCGUUCACUUACGACUUGCUCCGCAUCUUAUGAGAUAUCAAAGUCUUUGGGUUCCGGGGGGAGUAUGGUCGCAAGUCUGAAACUUAAAGGAAUUGACGGAAGGGCACCACCAGGAGUGGAGCCUGCGGCUUAAUUUGACUCAACACGGGGAAACUCACCAGGUCCAGACAUAAUAAGGAUUGACAGAUUGAUAGCUCUUUCUUGAUUUUAUGGGUGGUGGUGCAUGGCCGUUCUUAGUUCGUGGAGUGAUUUGUCUGCUUAAUUGCGUUAACGAACGAGACCCCCGCCUGCUAAAUAGUGUCGGUAAUGCUUCUGCAUUGCCGUUUCUACUUCUUAGAGGGACUUUCGGUGACUAACCGAAGGAAGUUGGGGGCAAUAACAGGUCUGUGAUGCCCAA
rnacentral:rRNA from 1 species